GCCAAACAAAGCACGAGCAAGGCUGUUAUUUUCCAUGUAUUCGUAUACUAGCAUUAGUUAAUCUCCUUCUAUACAACAACCAUGAAGUUUCACAAGAUUUGGAUGUCGCAAACAUGCAAUCAUUCCUAUCUCAUUCAAGAACUCUCGAUUUCCCUGACUCGAUUUAGUUGACAGCUGCUUGACAGCAAUCACAGUACCAUCGGCUAACAAACCCUUGUAAACAGGUCCAAAUCCACCUUCUCCAAUU
rnacentral:misc_RNA from 1 species